UUCGGGGCGUGGACCGACGCG
rnacentral:sRNA from 1 species